UUGGUCAUCCGUGAUGGAUAUUC
rnacentral:snRNA from 1 species